rnacentral:rRNA from 1 species
AUACGGAGGAUCCGAGCGUUAUCCGGAUUUAUUGGGUUUAAAGGGAGCGUGGGCGGACGCUUAAGUCAGUUGUGAAAGUUUGCGGCUCAACCGUAAAAUUGCAGUUGAUACUGGGUGUCUUGAGUACAGUAGAGGCAGGCGGAAUUCGUGGUGUAGCGGUGAAAUGCUUAGAUAUCACGAAGAACUCCGAUUGCGAAGGCAGCCUGCUGGACUGUAACUGACGCUGAUGCUCGAAAGUGUGGGUAUCAAACAGGAUUAGAUACCCUGGUAGUCCACACAGUAAACGAUGAAUACUCGCUGUUUGCGAUAUACAGUAAGCGGCCAAGCGAAAGCGUUAAGUAUUCCACCUGGGGAGUACGCCGGCAACGGUGAAACUCAAAGGAAUUGACGGGG